rnacentral:ncRNA from 2 species
ACGACAUAUCUUUGGGCAGGCGCGCCAAAAGCGCCUAACAGGGAAUCCCGUGAAAACCGGGAGCGGGCCCGCCGCUGUGAACGGGGACGAAAGCCGCACGCGAAGCCACUGGCCGGACAGGCCGGGAAGGCGCGGCGAUUAGAACGAUCCGUGAGCCAGAAGACCUGCCUGCCCAAAUAAAACGUC